UACGGGGGGGGCAAGCGUUGUUCGGAUUUACUGGGCGUAAAGGGCGCGUAGGCGGCGCGGUAAGUCACUUGUGAAAUCUCUGAGCUUAACUCAGAACGGCCAAGUGAUACUGCAGUGCUAGAGUGUGGAAGGGGCAAUCGGAAUUCUUGGUGUAGCGGUGAAAUGCGUAGAUAUCAAGAGGAACACCUGAGGUGAAGACGGGUUGCUGGGCCAACACUGACGCUGAUGCGCGAAAGCCAGGGGAGCAAACGGG
rnacentral:rRNA from 1 species